rnacentral:rRNA from 1 species
AAUGUGACCUCGGAUCAGGUAGA